UACGGAGGGUGCAAGCGUUAUCCGGAUUCACUGGGUUUAAAGGGUGCGUAGGUGGGUCUGUAAGUCAGUGGUGAAAUCUCCGGGCUUAACCUGGAAACUGCCAUUGAUACUAUAGAUCUUGAAUUUUCUGGAGGUAAGCGGAAUAUGUCAUGUAGCGGUGAAAUGCUUAGAUAUGACAUAGAACACCAAUUGCGAAGGCAGCUUGCUACAGGAACAUUGACACUGAGGCACGAAAGCGUGGGGAUCAAACAGG
rnacentral:rRNA from 1 species